AUGCUCCCUGCUCGGCCUCCCCGGCGUGCUGCUCCCUCGCCUUGGUAUCCCUGCGAGCUCCUUCUCCCUCGCCCGGUUUCCAGCUCAGGCCUCGCCGGAUGCCACCGUCGCUUUUCUGACCUCGCCUCGACACUCAAUCGCUGCAGCACGCCAUGCCAUGCUGCACUGUCAUCGUUCGCUAUCCUCAUCCUCGCCAAUUUUCCUCGUUGUUUCUCGGCUACAACCGUGUCAGCUCCUACGCGUCGUGCGCGUUUUGUGUUCGGGUCGAGCCCCAGGAUUUUGAGGAAAAGGAAGCUUCAGUACAUCGGCCGGUGA
rnacentral:lncRNA from 1 species